CCAGCAGUUCCAACAAUAAUAAACAAAGCGUAAGGUGUUAUCAGAUUUAAAGACUUUACCGUAUGUUUGGAUUAUAAACUUUAUACACACACGUGAGGAAUAUCUUCAUUUAUGUCUGGACAUUGAGGAAGAGAAGCGUUUAUCUUUAACGUUACCUAAGAAGAAGAACAAUGGAAGACGCAAUGGAGGAGGAUAUAUUCCUGAAGAAACUACAUCCAAACGCACCUGCACCAUCUCAAACAAGUGUUUUGUAGUCUGCAUGAGGCCGGUCUCACUCUGAACCUCAAGAAGUGUAAGUUUGUCUGUUCUUCACUUGACUACUAAGGCCAUACCAUCACAGCAGACGGUGUCAAGGUGAAUUAAAGUACAGACCGAUGAAGGAGCUGUUUUGACCCUAGAAGUGGAUGGACAAGAGCGAGUUAUUGCUUAUGCAUCCCGUUUGCUCAGAGGUGCUGAGAAAUCCUAUUCGACAUCAGAAAAAGAAUGUCUAGCAGUAGUAUGGGCUGUAGAGAAGUGGCACCAUUAACUGGAAGGCAGAGCUUUUGAGGUGAUCACUGAUCAUGCAUCCUUAGUCUGGCUUUUUCAACAUCCAAAACCCUCAUCCACACUGGAAAGAUGGACGAUCAGACUACAAGGAUAUCACUUUACUGUAAGGUAUCGAAAAGGACAAUGUAUUGUUGUGCUGGAUAUGUUAUCCACGAAAGAUGAGUCCGAAUCACCGGCUGGGUUGUUGCUAACUUUAGCUAAGUGUGGUUUUAAUUCUGUUACUUGUGAUCUGCCAUUGGACUUGUCAGAAAUCACUGAUGAACAGAAAAAUGACACAGAGGGCCAAGAGAUCAUGUUUAAAGCCCAGCACUACAUUUUUAAAAAUAAGGUUUUAUGUAGGAGUCUCCCAGACUCUAAAGAAGGCAAAAGGAUUCAAAUUGUAGUCCCUGCAAAACUUAUGCACAUGACAGCCCCCUGAGCGGUCACUUGGGUAGAUUCAAAACUCUGAUGCGGCUUUUAGAAUUUGCUUAUUGGCCAUCGACUGCAAAAACUGUUGAGAAAUGUCAACAGCAUAAGCCCACUAACUUAAAGCAACACCAAAGAGUUUUGCUCCCCAUACAGGUUGGAAGCGGAAUUGUGUGGGAUUUUUAUGUUGUUUUAUUAAUCAGUAUGUCAUGUUAUAAUUGAUAUGUGCCAUUAUGCUUUCUGUGCUGAGAUAUGUGAGAGACUGUCUGUGUGUAAAGUUGAGAGGCUGUGGUUUCGGUUGGGGGAGAAACAGCAUAUGCUGAGGAAUGUACGUCUGGAAAUUGUUAAGAUAAGAGAGAGGCCUGAGGGAGAAAAGUAAACAGGGAACCAUGUUAUGAACCAAUGCUUUAAUAUUCACAGGAUAAAAUAUGCAAUGUAUUUCUUACUUAAUCAGUAUUAAUCAUUGAAUAAUUGAUGUAAUAAAUAUAAGAUGUUGUCUUUGAUAAAUUUGUAUUAACCAAUGUAAUGAAGGUUGCAUACAGAAUAACCUAAUGGGGGCAG